UCUUCAACGCACCGGCAACUUGAUGUGUCGGCCUGUCCUUGACAUUUUGAUAGACUGGGACGUCAAGUUGUUCGUAGGGUCAGGAGCCCUAUUACGAAAAUCGAAAUACGAAGUUUCGGUUGACGGAUCGUACAUUUUUCUAUUACGAAAGUGCUUCGAAUCCGAAGAUCGAAACGAAGUUCGAGAUUAGACAUUUUGUCUUUCGUUUACCUUAUUCCCAAAUUCACUCGACACUUACGUUUUCGUUGUUUGACAUUUUUAUGGUCGUAACAACAACGUCACUUUUAACGACAGACUUAUAUGUUUCGUUUUAGAUAAAACAUAUUUAUUUUAUUAUAAAAUGGCACGUUUUCAAUGAACGAAGAGGUCUUCUUGUACGAAGAAAACCUUGAAAGAGCAAGAGAGCGACGUCGACUCCGGCAAUAUUUAUUAAAUAAACAAAUUCCCGAUGGUUGAUUCCCUAAUUUGUUAUGAAUUAUCGCCAUAAUCAUACUUUAUUUGAAAAACUUUGUGAAGAGAUUAUAGUAAUAAAGCCACUAUAAAAAUACGAGAGGGAUUGAUCCCUCUAUCAAGAUAAAGAGAGAGAUUUUUGUACAUAUAAAUAAAAAAAGGGAUUAAAUUUAUCAUAUAUUAUAUUUUUAAAAUUAU